rnacentral:rRNA from 1 species
GAUGAACGCUGGCGGCGUGCCUAAUACAUGCAAGUCGAGCGAACAGAUAAGGAGCUUGCUCCUUUGACGUUAGCGGCGGACGGGUGAGUAACACGUGGGUAACCUACCUAUAAGACUGGAAUAACUCCGGGAAACCGGGGCUAAUGCCGGAUAACAUGUUGAACCGCAUGGUUCUACAGUGAAAGGCGGCUUUGCUGUCACUUAUAGAUGGACCCGCGCCGUAUUAGCUAGUUGGUGAGGUAACGGCUCACCAAGGCAACGGUACGUAGCCGACCUGAGAGGGUGAUCGGCCACACUGGAACUGAGACACGGUCCAGACUCCUACGGGAGGCAGCAGUAGGGAAUCUUCCGCAAUGGGCGAAAGCCUGACGGAGCAACGCCGCGUGAGUGAUGAAGGUCUUCGGAUCGUAAAACUCUGUUAUUAGGGAAGAACAAAUGCGUAAGUAACUGUGCGCGUCUUGACGGUACCUAAUCAGAAAGCCACGGCUAACUACGUG